rnacentral:misc_RNA from 1 species
GCAUCCUGGGAGCUGUUCGGAUUGGUUUGUUACUGGUGGUUGGCUCUCUGCUUUUGCAACAACUUCCACCUGGCAGACCUCUUCGGUUUUGCGUCAAGGUUGCGUUUCCUUGAGCACUUAUGGUUUCCUGUGUUGCCUACCUGUGUGAUGGUAUCGGUUGAUUAAAUCGUAGUCAUGUUUCAUCUUGUGUCAGUUGUAUGGCGUAGGAUGAACCUUAAAGCAACCUCUAUGAUCCACCUUGUUGAUGCACAUGCGUCUAUGUUGUGGCUCAUUGAGUUUUGCUUGGUUUUCUGGAUACAGAACCCGGAUGGGUGUGGGUCUCUGCGAUUCCUUUUUGCCCUUGUUGAACGUUGCUAUUACUUUGAAAUGACUGCCUAUCUCGAAUUGGCUCGUACCACCGGGUUGGUUAAAGUUGUUGAAAAGCGAUACUAGCGUUCUUGCUUCUCUAAAAAGGACGGCCUCGCCAGGAUUGGCUUGUACCAUCGGGUGGGCUAUGUCUAAGAGGGAUGCUACCUGGUUGAUCCUGCCAGUAGUCAUAUGCUUGUCUCAA